rnacentral:rRNA from 1 species
UGACAGUACUCCUACGGGGAGGCAGCAGUGGGGGAAUAUUGCACAAUGGGCGCAAGCCUGAUGCAGCCAUGCCGCGUGUGUGAAGAAGGCCUUCGGGUUGUAAAGCACUUUCAGUCGUGAGGAAGGUAGUGUAGUUAAUAGCUGCAGUAUUUGACGUUAGCGACAGAAGAAGCACCGGCUAACUCCGUGCCAGCAGCCGCGGUAAUACGGAGGGUGCGAGCGUUAAUCGGAAUUACUGGGCGUAAAGCGCAUGCAGGUGGUUUGUUAAGUCAGAUGUGAAAGCCCGGGGCGUCAACCUCGGAAUAGCAUUUGAAACUGGCAGACUAGAGUACUGUAGAGGGGGGUAGGAAUUUCAGGUGUAGCGGUGAAAUGCGUAGAGAUCUGAAGGAAUACCGGUGGCGAAGGCGGCCCCCUGGACAGAUACUGACACUCAGAUGCGAAAGCGUGGGGAGCAAACAGGAUUAGAUACCCUGGUAG